GAUGAACGCUAGCUACAGGCUUAACACAUGCGAGUCGAGGGGAAACGACAUCGAAAGCUUGCUUUUGAUGGGCGUCGACCGGCGCACGGGUGAGUAACGCGUAUCCAACCUGCCCACCACUUGGGGAUAACCUUGCGAAAGUAAGACUAAUACCCAAUGAUAUCUCUAGAAGACAUCUGAAAGAGAUUAAAGAUUUAUCGGUGAUGGAUGGGGAUGCGUCUGAUUAGCUUGUUGGCGGGGUAACGGCCCACCAAGGCAACGAUCAGUAGGGGUUCUGAGAGGAAGGUCCCCCACAUUGGAACUGAGACACGGUCCAAACUCCUACGGGAGGCAGCAGUGAGGAAUAUUGGUCAAUGGACGAGAGUCUGAACCAGCCAAGUAGCGUGCAGGAAGACGGCCCUAUGGGUUAUAAACUGCUUUUAUAAGGGAAUAAAGUGAGUCUCGUGAGACUUUUUGCAUGUACCUUAUGAAUAAGGACCGGCUAAUUCCGUG
rnacentral:rRNA from 1 species